ACGGGUGAGUAACACGUAGGUAACCUGCCUAACAGACUGGGAUAACUACCGGAAACGGUAGCUAAGACCGGAUACGUCAAUAUGGGGGCAUCCCCAAAUUGAGAAAAGCGGAGUAAUCUGCUACUGAUAGAUGGACCUGCGGCGCAUUAGCCAGUUGGUGAGGUAGAGGCUCACCAAGGCGACGAUGCGUAGCCGACCUGAGAGGGUGAACGGCCACACUGGGACUGAGACACGGCCCAGACUCCUACGGGAGGCAGCAGUAGGGAAUCUUCGGCAAUGGACGAAAGUCUGACCGAGCAACGCCGCGUGAGUGAUGAAGGUUUUCGGAUCGUAAAACUCUGUUGCCAGGGAAGAAUGGCUAGGCGAGUAACUGCGCUUAGUAUGACGGUACCUGAGAAGAAAGCCCCGGCUAACUACGUGCCAGCAGCCGCGGUAAUACGUAGGGGGCAAGCGUUGUCCGGAAUUAUUGGGCGUAAAGCGCGCGCAGGCGGUUGUUUAAGUCUGGUGUAUAAACCAAGGGCUCAACCUUUGGACGCAUUGGAAACUGGGCAACUGGAGUGUAGGAGAGGAAAGUGGAAUUCCACGUGU
rnacentral:rRNA from 1 species